rnacentral:piRNA from 1 species
UGCGAAAUCAGGAAAGUGCUUUUGGUC